CACUGGAAACGGUGGCUAAUACCGGAUGUGCCGAAAGGUGAAAGAUUUAUUGCCUAGAGAUGAGCUCGCGUCUGAUUAGCUAGUUGGUGUGGUAAGAGCGCACCAAGGCGACGAUCAGUAGCUGGUCUGAGAGGAUGAUCAGCCACACUGGGACUGAGACACGGCCCAGACUCCUACGGGAGGCAGCAGUGGGGAAUUUUCCGCAAUGGGCGAAAGCCUGACGGAGCAAUACCGCGUGAGGGAGGAAGGCUCUUGGGUUGUAAACCUCUUUUCUCAGGGAAUAAGAAAGUGAAGGUACCUGAGGAAUAAGCAUCGGCUAACUCCGUGCCAGCAGCCGCGGUAAUACGGAGGAUGCAAGCGUUAUCCGGAAUGAUUGGGCGUAAAGCGUCCGCAGGUGGCACUGUAAGUCUGCUGUUAAAGAGCAAGGCUCAACCUUGUAAAGGCAGUGGAAACUACAGAGCUAGAGUACGUUCGGGGCAGAGGGAAUUCCUGGUGUAGCGGUGAAAUGCGUAGAGAUCAGGAAGAACACCGGUGGCGAAAGCGCU
rnacentral:rRNA from 1 species